rnacentral:lncRNA from 1 species
AGGCCAGGCACUACUCUGUCCCAACAAUAAGCCCUGUACAUUGGGAAAGGUGCCGAGACAUGAACUUUGGUCUUCUCUGCAAUCCAUCUGGAGCAUUCAGUGACAACAUCGACUUUGAAGUUGCACUGACCUGGCCAGCCCUGCCACUUACCAGGUUGGGCUGUGGCUUGCCUUUUCACUUCUUGUGUCCUGUUUAAGAAAUAUCUACUAUCCCAAGCAUCUGGCAUCUUUCUUGACACAUGUAGCAGUUGCUUUUUGACAGCUUGCUUCUUCAGUGAAUGAAUAAAUUAAUAAAGAGAAAUGUGAUGUUCAGUGAUCCAUUUUGCAGGCUCUUGAGUUUCUGCUUUCAAGUGACCCUCAGAAAUUCCCCCAUUCACUGCAGAGGUUCUGUUUCUCCUUGCUUUGUUCUGACUUUACGGCAGAACUAAGCUGAUGAGUUAGUUACUAUGGGUUAUCACUUGGAUUUGAAGAACCAUCAUUUCUAGGCAUUGCUGCUCAGAGUGGGUCUGCCCUCAGGGGAAGCUGUCUAACCAGAGCCUAACCCACUAGGGUUUUAUCAGAACCUAACUGACCUGAGGAAAAGAAAUAUUCAACUCCAGCAAGCUCCAGCCUUCCAAAUGGAGGAGAAGAAAACCCAACUCCAGCCCACUUCAGCUAUCUUGUCCCACAUAAAGGGGAAGUGGAAGAAACCUGAGAAGCAGGCAUGAAGUUCACAGUCCAGAGACCUUGCCAUCGUAUCCCUUUUUGGAGACACAAGCCAGGAAGGAAGCUCUUCAGUGCAGCUGUGAAUAGAGAAAUGCUGGCUGAGGUUUUGGAGACACUGGGUGAUCAUUCCCAGUGAAAUUUUUAGAUCCCUGGGGACAUGAGCUGCUUUGUCUUUUCCAAGGACAGCAGACAGAGCAUGAAUGAGACCCCCAAAGAAGGGAAGCAAAUGAGACAAGCCCCACAAUUAUUCUGGCUUUUGCCUAGAGACAAUCUAUGAACUGUGGGGCAAACAACAAAGAUCAAAACAGCUUGGCAAUCUGAGUUGAGGAUGAAGACACCAUUAGGGGCAGAAGUAGCGAUAGCUCAAAUUUGUGGAGCAAAGUACCAGAGAAGAUAAACUGCUCCAAAUUCCAUAAGGCUGGGCAAGGAAAAACUUUGUGGAAAGAAGAAUUAUCAGGGAACCCUAAGCUGAAAAAUUGCCAGGGCUCACACAGACCUGGGGAAUUGGUUGAGUUUAUGCCACCUACAGGAUAGAGAACUUGCUGAAUGUUCAAGGAUUUUGUUACAGAUGCAAGAUGACACUUAAAGGGAUGCAAAACUAACAUCUCUGGAUUAGUCUUAAUAAAGUUUAAAAAUAAGCUUAGAAAAAGUCAAA